GCACGGGUGAGUAACGCGUAUCCAACCUGCCCACCACUUGGGGAUAACCUUGCGAAAGUAAGACUAAUACCCAAUGAUAUCUCUAGAAGACAUCUGAAAGAGAUUAAAGAUUUAUCGGUGAUGGAUGGGGGUGCGUCUGAUUAGCUUGUUGGCGGGGUAACGGCCCACCAAGGCGACGAUCAGUAGGGGUUCUGAGAGGAAGGUCCCCCACAUUGGAACUGAGACACGGUCCAAACUCCUACGGGAGGCAGCAGUGAGGAAUAUUGGUCAAUGGGCGAGAGCCUGAACCAGCCAAGUAGCGUGCAGGAUGACGGCCCUAUGGGUUGUAAACUGCUUUUAUAAGGGAAUAAAGUGAGUCUCGUGAGACUUUUUGCAUGUACCUUAUGAAUAAGGACCGGCUAAUUCCGUGCCAGCAGCCGCGGUAAUACGGAAGGUCCGGGCGUUAUCCGGAUUUAUUGGGUUUAAAGGGAGCGUAGGCCGGAGAUUAAGCGUGUUGUGAAAUGUAGAUGCUCAACAUCUGAACUGCAGCGCGAACUGGUUUCCUUGAGUACGCACAAAGUGGGCGGAAUUCGUGGUGUAGCGGUGAAAUGCUUAGAUAUCACGAAGAACUCCGAUUGCGAAGGCAGCUCACUGGAGCGCAACUGACGCUGAAGCUCGAAAGUGCGGGUAUCGAACAGGAUUAGAUACCCUGGUAGUCCGCACGGUAAACGAUGGAUGCCCGCUGUUGGUCUGAAUAGGUCAGCGGCCAAGCGAAAGCAUUAAGCAUCCCACCUGGGG
rnacentral:rRNA from 1 species